GAUGAACGCUGGCGGCGUGCCUAAUACAUGCAAGUCGAGCGAACGGACGAGAAGCUUGCUUCUCUGAUGUUAGCGGCGGACGGGUGAGUAACACGUGGAUAACCUACCUAUAAGACUGGGAUAACUUCGGGAAACCGGAGCUAAUACCGGAUAAUAUUUUGAACCGCAUUGUUCAAAAGUGAAAGACGGUCUUGCUGUCACUUAUAGAUGGAUCCGCGCUGCAUUAGCUAGUUGGUAAGGUAACGGCUUACCAAGGCAACGAUGCAUAGCCGACCUGAGAGGGUGAUCGGCCACACUGGAACUUAGACACGGUCCAGACUCCUACGGGAGGCAGCAGUAGGGAAUCUUCCGCAAUGGGCGAAAGCCUGACGGAGCAACGCCGCGUGAGUGAUGAAGGUCUUCGGAUCGUAAAACUCUGUUAUUAGGGAAGAACAUAUGUGUAAGUAACUGUGCACAUCUUGACGGUACCUAAUCAGAAAGCCACGGCUAACUACGUG
rnacentral:rRNA from 1 species